UGGGGAAUAUUGGACAAUGGGCGCAAGCCUGAUCCAGCCAUGCCGCGUGAGUGAUGAAGGCCUUAGGGUUGUAAAGCUCUUUCGCCAGGGACGAUAAUGACGGUACCUGGAUAAGAAGCCCCGGCUAACUUCGUGCCAGCAGCCGCGGUAAUACGAAGGGGGCUAGCGUUGUUCGGAAUUACUGGGCGUAAAGCGUAUGCAGGCGGACUUUUAAGUCGGGGGUGAAAUCCCGAGGCUCAACCUCGGAACUGCCUUCGAUACUGGAAGUCUUGAGUCCGGGAGAGGUGAGUGGAACUCCGAGUGUAGAGGUGAAAUUCGUAGAUAUUCGGAAGAACACCAGUGGCGAAGGCGGCUCACUGGCCCGGUACUGACGCUGAGAUACGAAAGCGUGGGGAGCAAACAG
rnacentral:rRNA from 1 species